GGGGGCCUUUUCGGGCACACCGCCAACAAAAGCAGCUUGAUGGAGGCUUUGUUGAGGGAGGAGUUGAUGGCCUCCAAGGCAGAGGUGGUGCAGUUGAGGCAGGAAAUGAAGCAGUUACAAAC
rnacentral:SRP_RNA from 1 species